rnacentral:rRNA from 14 species
AGGAUCUGCUCCUAGUACGAGAGGACCAGAGUGGACGAACCUCUGGUGUACCGGUUGUCACGCCAGUGGCAUCGCCGGGUAGCUAUGUUCGGAAGGGAUAACCGCUGAAAGCAUCUAAGCGGGAAGCCUGUUCUAAGAUGAGGUUUCAUUCGAGGUACCCCACAGACUAUGGGGUUGAUAGGCCAGAGUUGGAAGCAUCGCAAGAUGUGCAGACGACUGGUACUAAUUUACC